UAGGUGCACCCCGAGUAUUUUUCUUGGAGGGGACUCCACUCCCAGCCGCUCACCACAGGAGCAGACAAGGACCUCCUGAAGCUGCGGACAAACGGUAUGUUUUACACUGCUGGAGGGAUACUAACUGGAGUGUUAAUAAUUGUAUGUCUUAUUCGUAAAUGUCCAGGUAUUUUGUGUUGAAAGUAUUUGUGUAAGUGUAUGUGUUUGAAACAAAGUGGAGUGAGUCACUCCACGAAGAACACAGUCAGAGACAAUACUUGUUUGUUUGGUUAUCAUUCUAAAUUAUAUACUCUUGUGGUGUGAAUGAGAUGUG